AGUCAAGCAAGAAAAGGCGAAUGGUGGAUACCUAGGCACACAGAGGCGAAGAAGGACGUGGUGACCGACGAAAAGCUCCGGGGAGCUGGAAGCAAGCAUAGAUCCGGAGAUGUCCGAAUGGGGCAACCCCAAGUACUGCCUGUUGAAUAUAUAGACAGGAAAGAGCCAACCCAGCAAACUGAAACAUCUUAGUAGCUGGAGGAAAAGAAAUCAAAAAGAGAUUCCCUAAGUAGUGGUGAGCGAAAGGGGAAAAGCCUAAACCAAAAAGCUUGCUUUUUGGGGUAGUGGGACAGCAACAAGGAAUCCUUAGGUUAGACGAAGCAGCRAAAAACUGUACCAGAGAAGGUGAGAGUCCUGUAGUCAAAAACUAAAAGAUACUAGCUGUAUCCCGAGUAGCAUGGGGCACGUGAAAUCCCAUGUGAAUCAGCGAGGACCACCUCGUAAGGCUAAAUACUACUGUGUGACCGAUAGCGAAACAGUACCGCGAGGGAAAGGUGAAAAGAACCCCAAUAAGGGGAGUGAAAUAGAACAUGAAACCAUUCGCCCACAAGCAGUGGAAGUCCGAUUCAACGGAUGACCGCGUGCCUGUUGAAGAAUGAGCCGGCGAGUUAAAAGCACUGGUAGGUUAAGGUGAAGUACCGUAGCCAAAGCGAAAGCGAGUCUGAAAAGGGCGCGAAUCAGUGUUUUUAGACCCGAACCCGGGUGAUCUAACCAUGUCCAGGAUGAAGCUUGGGUAACACCAAGUGGAGGUCCGAACCGACCGAUGUUGAAAAAUCGGCGGAUGAGGUGUGGUUAGGGGUGAAAUGCCAAUCGAACCCGGAGCUAGCUGGUUCUCCCCGAAAUGUGUUGAGGCGCAGCGGUUGUGAUUCCAAUCUGGGGGUAAAGCACUGUUUCGGUGCGGGCGGCGAAAGCUGUACCAAAUCGAGACAAACUCAGAAUACCAGAUGAACACACAACCAGUGAGACGGUGGGGGAUAAGCUUCAUCGUCAAGAGGGAAACAGCCCAGACCACCAGCUAAGGUCCCCAAAUCAUCGCUAAGUGGCAAAGGAGGUGGGAGUGCACAGACAACCAGGAGGUUUGCCUAGAAGCAGCCACCCUUAAAAGAGUGCGUAAUAGCUCACUGGUCAAGCGCUCCUGCGCCGAAAAUGAACGGGACUAAGCGAUGUACCGAAGCUGUGGAAUAGCAACCAAUUUUCAAAACUAAAAUUCAAGAUUUGUAAAAGUUUUGAAUUUUGAAUUUUGAAUUUUGAAUUGUUAUUGGUAGGGGAGCGUUCCGUGUUAGGAAGAAGCACUAGCGGUAAGCAGGUGUGGACGAGACGGAAGUGAGAAUGUCGGCUUGAGUAGCGAAAACAUUGGUGAGAAUCCAAUGCCCCGAAACCCCAAGGGUUCCAGAGCCAGGUUCGUCCACUCUGGGUUAGUCGGGACCUAAGGCGAGGCGGAAACGCGUAGUCGAUGGACACAGGGUCAACAAUCCCUGACUAUUGAGUGGGAGCAUUAGCAGUGCGCAUGAAAGUAAGCUACGCCCUAACUGGAUUGGGAGACUUCUACGGAGGUUGUGUAGUGAGGUUAGUGCCAAGAAAAGCUGUAAAUGUGAUGAAAGCUCAGUACCCGUACCCGAAACCGACACAGGUGGGGGGGUAGAGAAUACUAAGGGGAGCGAGAUAACUCUCUCUAAGGAACUCGGCAAAAUAGCCCCGUAACUUCGGAAGAAGGGGUGCCCACGUGAGUGGGUUGCAGUGAAGAGGCCCAGGCGACUGUUUACCAAAAACACAGGUCUCCGCCAACUCGUAAGAGGAAGUAUGGGGGCUGACGCCUGCCCAGUGCCGGAAGGUUAAGGAAGCUGGUCAGCCAAUAGGUAAAGCUGGCGACUGAAGCCCCGGUGAACGGCGGCCGUAACUAUAACGGUCCUAAGGUAGCGAAAUUCCUUGUCGGGUAAGUUCCGACCCGCACGAAAGGCGUAACGAUCUGGGCACUGUCUCGGAGAGAGACUCGGCGAAAUAGGAGUGUCUGUGAAGAUACGGACUACCUGCACCUGGACAGAAAGACCCUAUGAAGCUUUACUGUAGCCUGGAAUUGGGUCCGGGCUUGGCUUGCGCAGGAUAGGUGGGAGACGAAGAAACUGCCCUUGUGGGGGUAGUCGAGUCAACGGUGAGAUACCACUCUGGCGAAGCUAGGAUUCUAACCCGUUUCCGUAAUCCGGAAAGGAGACAAUUUCAGGUGGGCAGUUUGACUGGGGCGGUCGCCUCCUAAAAGGUAACGGAGGCGCACAAAGGUUCCCUCAGCACGGUUGGAAAUCGUGCUUUGAGUGUAAAGGCAAUAAGGGAGCUUGACUGCAAGAGCAACAACUCAAGCAGGGUGGAAACACGGUCUUAGUGAUCCGACGGCACAGCGUGGAAUGGCCGUCGCUCAACGGAUAAAAGUUACUCUAGGGAUAACAGGCUGAUCUCCCCCAAGAGUCCACAUCGACGGGGAGGUUUGGCACCUCGAUGUCGGCUCAUCGCAACCUGGGGCGGAAGUACGUCCCAAGGGUUGGGCUGUUCGCCCAUUAAAGCGGUACGUGAGCUGGGUUCAGAACGUCGUGAGACAGUUCGGUCCAUAUCCGGUGCAGGCGUAAGAGUAUUGAGAGGAGCCCUCCUUAGUACGAGAGGACCGGGAGGGACGCACCGCUGGUGUACCAGUUAUCGUGCCAACGGUAGACGCUGGGUAGCCAUGUGCGGAGAGGAUAACCGCUGAAAGCAUCUAAGUGGGAAGCCCACCUCAAGAUGAGURCUCUCAUGGCAAUAGCCAGUAAGGUCACAGGCAGAACACCUGUUAAUAGGCGGGAGGUGUACGUGCAGUAAUGUGCUCAGCCGACCCGUGCUAAUAGACCGAGGGCUUGACUUC
rnacentral:rRNA from 1 species